rnacentral:rRNA from 1 species
CCUACGGGAGGCAGCAGUGAGGAAUAUUGGUCAAUGGACGAGAGUCUGAACCAGCCAAGUAGCGUGAAGGAUGACGGCCCUAUGGGUUGUAAACUUCUUUUAUAAAGGAAUAAAACGAGGCACGUGUGCCUUUUUGCAUGUACUUUAUGAAAAAGGAUCGGCUAACUCCGUGCCAGCAGCCGCGGUAAUACGGAGGAUCCGAGCGUUAUCCGGAGUUAGUGGGUUUAAAGGGAGCGUAGAGGGGUUGUUCAGUCAGUUGUGAAAGUUUGCGGCUCAACCUUAAAAUUGCAAUUGAUACUGGCAGUCUUGAGUACAGUUGAGGUAGGCGGAAUUCGUGGUGUAGCGGUGAAAUGCUUAGAUAUCACGAAGAACCCCGAUUGCGAAGGCAGCUUACUAAACUGUGACUGACAUUGAUGCUCGAAGGUGUGGGUAUCAAACAGGAUUAGAUACCCGAGUAGUC